rnacentral:tRNA from 1 species
GUCCAGGGAUGGGAAUCGAACCCACAUUGUUUUGCUUACCGGGCAGAUGCCAUGUCCACUAGGCUACCCUGGA